rnacentral:lncRNA from 1 species
CAGCUCCCAGAAGUUCUCAGAGGGUGAGGGUCCCACAUCUCCUGCAGGACAGGCCCUAGCUACUGAGUCACAGAAACCCAGGGCCGAAGCAAAGUCCCAAUCCCAGAGAGGCUGGGGCACACCUACAACUGAAAGGAGGCUUAGAAAUCCUUCAGAGACCACCCUAUCGGUUCUCCUCCACCUGGACAGGAUGAGCCAGCAACACAGAAGGAAGAGGCCUUCCUCCGAAAGAAAAAGCACAAGAAAGAUGGACACAUGGCAGAGUCUUAAAGUCAAAGAAGUAUUCUGUGGUAUAGAGGCCAGAAGAGGUCAUUGUCUCCAAAUAGCAAGCAAGACCUCUCCGAGGCUAACUUUGUGCAGUCUGUAGGUGUAUUCAUGCCGUGGCUCAAGACAGGUUUCUAAGACAGCCACCGAUGGGUCCUACCUCCUCGUAUUCACAUCCUAUGUAAUCUCCUCCCCAGUGUGGGCUGGACCUGGUGACUUGCUUCCAGUGAAUAGAAUAUAGCAAAAGUGAUUGAUGUCACCUCCAAGAUUCAGCUAUAGAAGACUAUGACUAUGACUUUCCUCUUGGCUAGCAUUCUCGCUAACCCUUCCUGCUUGCUUGUACUGAGCUGCCCUAUGAAGAGGCCCAUGUAGGGUGGCCUGGGUGGGGGUGAUCUGUGGCCAACAGCCAGCAAGGAACUAAAUCCUGUUUACAACCACAUGAGCUUGGAAGGAGAUCCUUCCCCAGUAAAGCCAGGAGAUGAAUACAGCCCCAGCCUCCAGCUUCAUUGCAGCAUCGUGAGACACCCACAAGCAGGACUCAGCUAAGCCACAGCCAGAAUUCUGUCCCACAGGGUAUAUUUGUAAGCCGAGUUGAAUGCUUUGUGGAGAGAG